CAGUAGCCACGGUAAUACGUAGGUGGCAAGCGUUGUCCGGAAUUAUUGGGCGUAAAGGGCUCGCAGGCGGUUUCUUAAGUCUGAUGUGAAAGCCCCCGGCUCAACCGGGGAGGGUCAUUGGAAACUGGGAAACUUGAGUGCAGAAGAGGAGAGUGGAAUUCCACGUGUAGCGGUGAAAUGCGUAGAGAUGUGGAGGAACACCAGUGGCGAAGGCGACUCUCUGGUCUGUAACUGACGCUGAGGAGCGAAUGCGUGGGGAGCGAACAGGAUUAGAUACCCCGUAGUCCCUGUCUCUUAUACC
rnacentral:rRNA from 1 species